ACGGAAGACAGGAUGGUUGCAGCCUCUGUGGAACUUAAGGUAGUUCUUCCCUUUGGGGGAAAGACACCAUUUGCAAUUUGAUCUCUGCCUGGAAUCCUAAGACCAAUUUCCUCGGAGUCUCUGCAGCUGGGCCCUGGCACCAGUAUUUUUGACAACUACUCAGCGUUGUAUCCACUCACAUGACCUCAGUUUAUGAAAACGUGACUGCAGGUGGGGGCUCGAACAGAAGCUGCCGGUAGGAGCAGUGUUGGGAAAAGCUUCACAGAGGAGAUGAGCAAGCCUUGGAGGAUUUACAGGAUUUCACCAGGUAGAGAAGAAAAAGAAUGUCAAGCAGGGAGUCUAUCCAUGGGAAGGAAGCAUGAGAGCACAUUCUGCAGAGAAUGGAAUAGUCCAGAAUGGCUAAAACAUAACUUCCACACACGGCAAUGUUUGUGACCAUGUGAAAGAGGCGUUAGAUUAGUUGAAAUGAAACUAAUCAUUCAGAUUGUGGCAGAGCUAUGAAGGAAUUUGAAUACAUUAAUUUUUUUUCUGUUGUCAUUAUGCAGCCUUGGAAUGUCUUGACUAGGGAAGUAGGAGAGACCAGGCUGAGGUUUUAUGAAGGUAAUUCUACAGCAAUGAGAAUGCUGAGUUUUAUAAAAGUUCAAAAUAUAUUGCUUAAUAAGUUAACAAUUUGCUAAGAAUUUAGUCAAUAAAAAUGUGUUUAUCUACCUGUAAAAUAAAAGCUAUGAAUUGAUAUCUUAAAAGCUUUAGGAAUCUUAAGUAUCAAUCACCAUAACAUGGCAAUCUCACUCUAAAUAUACUGCAUGCAAAUUUUAGAUAAACCUAUGAAUGAGUCUACGUUACCCAAUAUAAAAAUUUUCUUUUAAAUCAGUAUGUAUGUUUGCAAGAUAAAAAUUACACUCUAAUCUACAAAUAUCAAACUCUUAAAGCAAAUUAAAAUAAAACAUUUGUUAUAAGUA